rnacentral:lncRNA from 1 species
UGAUUGAUUUGAUUUUUUCUUUCUUUUUUUUUGUAAGUUCGUGUUUGUAGAAAUGAACUCGGUUAGAAUUACGAAGUAACUAGAAUUCGAAAUUAAAACCUGAGAUAUCAAUUAUUUCGCUCGUACUAUACUUUUUUCUCUUAUAAAUUAUAGGAGAAACUUCAAAUACUCCCCCUGUGGUUUUGCACUUUCUCAUUUUAGUACUAUGUGGUUUCGUACUUUCUCACUUUAUUACUCUAUAAUUUCAAGUGUAUCAAAUUAGUAUCAUGUGGUUUCAUUUUUGUAUCAAGUUAAUACCCUGUUAUUUUAAUUUUUUUUUUUUAUUAUCCAUUUCGAGAUAUAUAAUUUAACGAAAUAUUAAACCACAUGAUACUAAAGUGAGAAAGUGUGAAAUCAUAGGGUACUAACUUGAUACACUUGAAACCAUGGAGUAAAAAAGUGAGAAGGUUCGAAACCACAUGAUACUAAUUUGAUAUACUUUAAACUAAAUGGUACUAAAGUGAAAAAGUACGAAAUCACAUGAGGGUAUUUCAAGUUUCUCCUAAAUUAUACUGAGACGGGCACAAACCUCAAAUUUUA